AAAAAUGUAUGUGCACUUAAUGUGUGUUUUAUCAUACUCUGUCUUUCCUUCUUUAACUUGUAUCUCAUAAAGGUGUAUGUUUGCUUUAGCUACUUAAGAAAAUUAAAAUCUCUCUUUCUAAACUUGUAUAAACUAAAACACCCAUCCCUUUCUCUCUUCAGGGAAAGAAAUAAUAUCUACAGAGAGGUUGCAACUCACCUGCGCUUAGCAUUGAUUGUGGUGUUUUCAUGCUCAUGUAUGCCCUUUACACUGUGCUGAACAUUCCAUUCAAUUUCACUUCGCUUGACAUGCCUGCAAUCAGGGAGUGGUGGUGUCUACGUCUGUAAUUGAGCGGUUUGAGACAGAGGGGCAUGGGAAAAGGUUCGCCCACUGGACUGAGGAGGCAAGAUGCCUGAUUGAAGGGACAUUAAGACCUCUUUACAGGAGUUUUCCAGGAUUAACACAUAACUUGCCACAACAUGUAAUUGUUGCAGAGAGAAACCGAAUGUUGUCCAACCAGGCUCUGGUGGACAUCUUUGUGGCAAGAGGAACCGAUAACCACAUUCAGGUACACGCAUCAAUAAUGCAUUCUUUAACUGCAUUCUAAACCAAUAGCUUGUCUAGAAAAAUAAACAAUUUACACAUAC